rnacentral:lncRNA from 1 species
UGCAGGUGAAACUAGUUAAGAUGAAGUCAUGCUGGAGUAGGGUGGGACCUUAAUCCAAUAAGUCUGGUGUCCGUAUAAGAAGACACAGACACACAGAGGGAUGAUGGCCACCCACAGAGGACAAAGGCAGAGACUGGAGUGAUGCAGCUGCAAGCCAAAGAACGCCAAGGACUGAUGGUCACCACCAGCAGCUAGGAAAAGCCCCCCAAUACAGUUGUAUAUUCUAGUCAUAGGUCCUUCUAGUUGUGGCAUGUGUGACGCCGCCUCAGCAUAGCUUGAUGAGUGAUGCCAUGUCCGCGCCCAGGAUGCAAACUGGCGAAACCCUGGGCUGCCGAAGCAGAGACCGUGAACUUAACCACUCGGCCACAGGACUGGCCCCUACAACUUUGCUUAAUUCAUUAACUCCAGUACGUUUUUGUUUUUGGUGUUUGUGUAUCUAUGGGAUUUUCUCUAUAUAGAAUCAUGUCAUCUGCAAAUGGAGAUAGUUUCUCUUUUCCUUUCCAAUUCAGAUGCCUUUUACUUCUUUUUCUGGCCUAAUUGCUCUGGCUAGGACUUCCAGUACAUGUCGAAUAGCAGAGGCGAAAGCAAGAAUCCUUGCCUUGUUCCUCUUAAGGGGAAGCUUUCUGUUUUUCACCAAUGAGUGUUAGCUGUGGGUUUUUCAUAAAUGUCCCUUAUCGUGUUCAAGAAGUUCCUUCUAUUCCUAGCUUAGUGUUUUUAUUAUGCAAUGGCCUUGAAUUUUGUCAAAUGCUUUUCCCACAUCUCUUGAGAUGAUUAUGCCCCCCGCCCCGUUCUAUUUCUAUUAAUGGGGUGUACUGCAUUGAUUGAUUUCCUUAUGUUGAAUGACCCUUGCAUUCCUGAGACAAAUCCGACCCGGUCACGAUGGAUGAUACUUAGAAUGAGCUGCUGGAUUCAGUUUGUUAGUUAGUAUUUUGUUGAUUAUUUUUGUGUCUAUAUUCAUAGGAGAUGAUGGUGUUUUCUUUUCUUGUGAUGUCUUUGUCUGGCUUUGCUACCAGGGUAAUAACGGCCUCACAGAAGGUGUCAGAAAGUAUUCCCUUUUCUAUUUUUGGGGAAAAGUUUGAAUAGGAUUGGUGUUAAUUCUUUAAAUAUUUGUUAGAAUUCAUCAGACCUGUGUGACCUUGGAUUAGGCAAUGGUUUCUUGUUUUUUUUUUUUUUUUUUUUUUGAGGAAGAUCAGCCCUGAGCUAACUGCUGCCAAUCCUUUGUGCUGAGGAAGACUGGCCCUGAGCUCACAUCCGUGCCCAUCUUCCUCUACUUUACAUGUGGGACACUUUUUGCCGAGCGGAGCCAUGUCUGCACCAGGUAUCAGAACUGGGCCGCCGAAGCAGAACGUGUGCACUUAACUGCUGCACCACUGGGCCAGCCCGGCAACGGUUUCUUAAAUAUGACCCUUAUAUGUAACAAUCAAAGAAAAAAUAAAUUGGACUCGAUCAAAAUUCAAAUCUUUUGUGUCAAAGA